AAGCGGUGGAGGAUGUGGCUUAAUUCGAGGCUACGCGAAGAACCUUAUCCUAGUCUUGACAUGCUUAGGAACCCUGCCGAAAGGUGGGGGUGCCCUUCGGGGAGCCUUUGCACAGGUGCUGCAUGGCUGUCGUCAGCUCGUGUCGUGAGAUGUCGCGUUAAGUCGCUUAACGAGCGCAACCCCUGUCCCUAGUUGCCAUCGAGUAAUGUCGGGGACUCUAGGGAGACUGCCGGUGUUAAACCGGAGGAAGGUGGGGACG
rnacentral:rRNA from 1 species